GAGUUAGUUAAAGCGUUGCAGGCGGAUCAAAUCUUCACUGCUUCAUCUGCAGAAAAGUCCACCUAGCUGACAAACGCCAAAACAGUUACGACAGUCCUGUACACCUUGAUCUUAACCGUUGAUCAUACUUGUAAGGAUGAACCCGGAGCUCUUGGAUUGAAAGGUAGACGACAGGAUCGGCGCUUUUUAUUCCCAGCCCUCGGAUCCAUCUUGUAGGCAAGACCCUGAGCCGUUGGAU
rnacentral:misc_RNA from 1 species